rnacentral:misc_RNA from 1 species
AAAAUUAAAGGGCAUAUAAGUGUUAGCAAACCAAAUCAAAAUCACCAAGGCCAUUUUGGUGAUGGAGAGCCUAGUUUCAAGCUUAGUUUAGCAUGGAGACCUGCCUCUUUAUUGAUCCACAUACCUGGGCCCAUGAUUCUUUAAAUGUUAUCAAAGUGGUGAAGCCCAACGGCCAUAGAUCUGGGACCCAAAAGCAUAGUGGGCUGAGUUGUAGUGAGCCAGACUUGUGAGUUGAAUUGAGCUAGACUUUGGUGGACCCACGUGCUAGUCAAGCAUAGCUAGACUUUGAGGGCAGAGCCAGAAAAGGAGCCAAGCCCAAGUUAGAUGGAUCACCCUAUGCAAUGACAAGUGACAACUAAGCCUAUGAGCCUGAGCUUGAACCUAGUUGCAGUUGAUGGGGACUGUUGGAAUAUUGAAGGUUGAAACAAAAUCCCACAUUGACCGUGCAUGAGAAUUAUAAAGGGCUUAUAAGUUUUAGCAAACCAAACAUCUUAGGCUAUUUUCGUGAUGGAAAGACUAGUUUCAAGCCCAGUUUAGCCUAGAGGCCUGCCUCUUUAUUGAUUCACACUUCUGCAGCUGUGAUUCUUUAGUAUUCCUCUUAAUGAGAGAAAAAUUUGUUGUGACAAUGUAAGCAUGAAAAACUAGUUGGCCUAGAGAAAUAGAAUGGUGACCUGGCAUAGAGAAAUCAACACAAGGGACUAUAUGGUUCGCUUUUCUUGGACUAUAAAUC